AGAGUUUGAUCCUGGCUCAGGACGAACGCUGGCGGCGCGCCUAACACAUGCAAGUCGAACGAGAGAGAGGGAGCUUGCUUCCUCAAUCGAGUGGCGAACGGGUGAGUAACGCGUGAGGAACCUGCCUCAAAGAGGGGGACAACAGUUGGAAACGACUGCUAAUACCGCAUAAGCCCACAGGUCGGCAUCGACCAGAGGGAAAAGGAGCAAUCCGCUUUGAGAUGGCCUCGCGUCCGAUUAGCUAGUUGGUGAGGUAACGGCCCACCAAGGCAACGAUCGGUAGCCGGACUGAGAGGUUGAACGGCCACAUUGGGACUGAGACACGGCCCAGACUCCUACGGGAGGCAGCAGUGGGGAAUAUUGCACAAUGGGGGAAACCCUGAUGCAGCGACGCCGCGUGGAGGAAGAAGGUCUUCGGAUUGUAAACUCCUGUUGUUGAGGAAGAUAAUGACGGUACUCAACAAGGAAGUGACGGCUAACUACGUGCCAGCAGCCGCGGUAAAACGUAGGUCACAAGCGUUGUCCGGAAUUACUGGGUGUAAAGGGAGCGCAGGCGGGAAGACAAGUUGGAAGUGAAAUCUAUGGGCUCAACCCAUAAACUGCUUUCAAAACUGUUUUUCUUGAGUAGUGCAGAGGUAGGCGGAAUUCCCGGUGUAGCGGUGGAAUGCGUAGAUAUCGGGAGGAACACCAGUGGCGAAGGCGGCCUACUGGGCACCAACUGACGCUGAGGCUCGAAAGUGUGGGUAGCAAACAGAAAAAGAUACCCUGGUAGUCCACACCGUAAACGAUGAUUACAAGGUGUUGGAGGAUUGCCCCCUUUCAGUACCGCAGUAAACACAAUAAGUAAUCCACCUGGGGAGUACGACCGCAAGGUUGAAACUCAAAAGGAAUUGACGGGGGCCCGCACAAGCAGUGGAGUAUGUGGUUUAAUUCGAAGCAACGCGAAGAACCUUACCAGGUCUUGACAUCCGAUGCAUAGUGCAGAGAUGCAUGAAGUCCUUCGGGACAUCGAGACAGGUGGUGCAUGGUUGUCGUCAGCUCGUGUCGUGAGAUGUUGGGUUAAGUCCCGCAACGAGCGCAACCCUUAUUGCCAGUUACUACGCAAGAGGACUCUGGCGAGACUGCCGUUGACAAAACGGAGGAAGGUGGGGAUGACGUCAAAUCAUCAUGCCCUUUAUGACCUGGGCUACACACGUACUACAAUGGCGUUAAACAAAGAGAAGCAAGACCGCGAGGUGGAGCAAAACUCAAAAACAACGUCUCAGUUCAGAUUGCAGGCUGCAACUCGCCUGCAUGAAGUCGGAAUUGCUAGUAAUCGCGGAUCAGCAUGCCGCGGUG
rnacentral:rRNA from 1 species